rnacentral:rRNA from 1 species
AAUCUCACAAAGUACGUCGUAGUCCGGAUUGGAGUCUGCAACUCGACUCCAUGAAGUCGGAAUCGCUAGUAAUCGCAAAUCAGAAUGUUGCGGUGAAUACGUCCCCGGGCCUUGUACACACCGCCCGUCACACCAUGGGAGUGGGCUGCAAAAGAAGCAGGUAGUUUAACCUUCGGGAGGACGCUUGCCACUUUGUGGUUCAUGA